rnacentral:rRNA from 1 species
GUGGGGAAUUUUGGACAAUGGGCGAAAGCCUGAUCCAGCAAUGCCGCGUGCAGGAUGAAGGCCCUCGGGUUGUAAACUGCUUUUGUACGGAACGAAAAGCUCUGGGCUAAUACCCCGGAGUCAUGACGGUACCGUAAGAAUAAGCACCGGCUAACUACGUGCCAGCAGCCGCGGUAAUACGUAGGGUGCAAGCGUUAAUCGGAAUUACUGGGCGUAAAGCGUGCGCAGGCGGUUUUGUAAGACAGUGGUGAAAUCCCCGGGCUCAAUCUGGGAACUGCCAUUGUGACUGCAAAGCUAGAGUGCGGCAGAGGGGGAUGGAAUUCCGCGUGUAGCAGUGAAAUGCGUAGAUAUGCGGAGGAGCACCGAUGUCGAAGGCAAUCCCCUGGGCCUGCACUGACGCUCAUGCACGAAAGCGUGGGGAGCAAACAGGAUUAGAAACCCGUGUAGUCC